UACGGAAGGCAGCAGUGGGGAAUAUUGCACAAUGGGCGCAAGCCUGAUGCAGCCAUGCCGCGUGUAUGAAGAAGGCCUUCGGGUUGUAAAGUACUUUCAGUCGUGAGGAAGGUGUUAAGGUUAAUAACCUUAGCAAUUGACGUUAGCGACAGAAGAAGCAUCGGCUAACUCCGUGCCAGCAGCCGCGGUAAUACGGAGGGUGCGAGCGUUAAUCGGAAUUACUGGGCGUAAAGGGCACGCAGGCGGUUAAUUAAGUUGGAUGUGAAAUCCCCGGGCUUAACCUGGGAAUGGCAUUCAAGACUGGUUAGCUAGAGUCUUGUAGAGGGGGUAGAAUUCCAUGUGUAGCGGUGAAAUGCGUAGAGAUGUGGAGGAAUACCGGUGGCGAAGGCGGCCCCUGGGACAAAGACUGACGCUCAUGUGCGAAAGCGUGGGGAGCAAACAGGAUUAGGAUACC
rnacentral:rRNA from 1 species